GGGGCUAUAGCUCAGCUGGGAGAGCACUUGCAUGGCAUGCAAGAGGUCGACGGUUCGAUCCCGUCUAGCUCCACCA
rnacentral:tRNA from 2 species